AUGGCUUUUCACAACUAUCAAUCUUAUCUUCUAGGUGUUUCAUGCAUUGCUUUGGUAUUGGUUUCAGGAUUGGUUACUAGUUUGGAGACUCCAGCAUUAGAUCUAGAUGAAUCAUGUGCUCCGUUAUGGCCAUUAGCAUAUUGUUGUUCUGCGGCUUGUACUCCAAACUGCGAUCGAGACUGUAAGAACAAAGGAUAUAAAGCUGGACAGUGCGAAACUUUUGGUGAUACUCUAUGUUGCUGUGUUAGGUCAUGA